UACGUAGGGUGCAAGCGUUGUCCGGAAUUAUUGGGCGUAAAGAGCUCGUAGGCGGUUUGUCGCGUCGGCUGUGAAAUCCCGAGGCUCAACCUCGGGCCUGCAGUCGAUACGGGCAAACUAGAGUAUGGUAGAGGAAGGUGGAAUUCCCGGUGUAGCAGUGAAAUGCGUAGAGAUCGGGAGGAACACCAGUGGCGAAGGCGGCCUUCUGGACCAAUACUGACGCUCAUGCACGAAAGCGUGGGGAGCAAACAGG
rnacentral:rRNA from 1 species